rnacentral:rRNA from 1 species
AACGAACGCUGGCGGCAGGCUUAACACAUGCAAGUCGAGGGGUAACGAGAGGGAAGCUUGCUUUCCUUGUCGACGACCGGCGCACGGGUGAGUAACGCGUGUCCAACCUGCCCCCAACUAGGGAAUAACCUUGCGAAAGUAAGACUAAUACCCUAUAAUUUCCUCAGAUGUCAUCUGACGAGGAAUAAAGAUUUAUCGGUUGCGGAUGGGGAUGCGUCUGAUUAGCUUGUUGGCGGGGUAACGGCCCACAAAGGCAACGAUCAGUAGGGGUUCUGAGAGGAAGGUCCCCCACAUUGGAACUGAGACACGGUCCAAACUCCUACGGGAGGCAGCAGUGAGGAAUAUUGGUCAAUGGGCGGAAGCCUGAACCAGCCAAGUAGCGUGCAGGAUGACGGCCCUAUGGGUUGUAAACCGCUUUUAUACAGGAAUAAAGUUAGCCACGUGUGGUUAUUUGUAGGUACUGUAUGAAUAAGGACCGGCUAAUUCCGUGCCAGCCGCCGCCGUAA